rnacentral:lncRNA from 1 species
AUGAGGCAGAGGUCUAGAGCCGGACUGACAGGAAGCCUGGCUGUGUUACUGGUGCAGUCACCUGGGUUUAAGAGCAGCGUACUGCUGCUGCAUCUGAAGGAGAUCAGUAAGAGACACCAUCACGGACCUGCACACAGUUCCUGCAGCUGCUGUGAUGCUUCUCAGGAGUGGAGAUCCCCUGCAGUACCGGGGUCUAUCUGCACAGCCACCAAGGCUGUCUGUGAUUUGGGGAAACUAAGCAAUGCUGAAAAGGCUGAACCUGUCAUGCUGAAAGGGAUGAAAAGGCCCCGGCAGACCAGGAACCCUGCCAUACAUGAUGAGACAAUACUUGUUCAAUUAAGCAUCUUAUGCCUGUGUGUAUCUCUUAAUAUGCAAAAUCCCUGGCUCACCGUUAGCCUCUGCACACACUACCUGUCUUAAAAACCCUCAGACUGAGGGGUGGCCCUUCUGCUGGGGUCCACUUCUUCCUGGGCACUGGGGGUAACUUCAGCAAUUCUUUGAGUUAUUUUCUUCGCAGAAAACACAUGGAACAGAUGGGCAUAGGCCAGCAUCAAGGCUGGUGCCGCAGUCACAGAAAAGGAUGUGCCCUGCCCUUGUGAGAUAAACCUUCCCCCACCUCACAUAAAAUAAACAGUUGAGCUUCCAUUGCCCAAAGCUAGCUAUUAACAAGCCUGUUGUUUUGCAGUAGUACGUACAUGGAUAGGUAGGUAGAAAUAGCACAAUACCAAAGAAACUAUCCUCCAUAAAUUAUAGUGGCUUCUUCUGAAUUCUUGUUAAUGCUUACUUUAAACCUUGAUGUCUAACUCUUCUUGAACAUUCUUGUCCAGAGUAAUUAAUUUAUGCUUUGUUCUGAAAGCGUAUCAGUAAACGGGCAUCAAUGCUGAUAGCCAUUUAUUGCUCCAGCAGUGAGGUUAAACAGCUUGUGCUUUUAACUGCAUGGUACAAAAGAUAUAAAACUAUUUGCUUGAGAUAUUAAUCCAGGAUGACCUGAUGUAAAGUGACAGUAAAAGUGGCUUUCCCAAAGAUGUGAAAUAUAUGCUCUGCUCACUACCUCCUGCUGACUCUCUGCUCCAAGUGAAUAAACAUUCAGCUGAAUUCUCCCACCCAGGUGUGAUCCAGCAAUGAACUGGCAGCGCAUCCUUUUGUCUGCUAAUGCCAAUUCUAACUCACAGGAGCAGCCUACCACCGGCUCUGCAGCCAAAAUGCUUUCUCAAUUUUCUCAAGAAUCAACACAGAAAAUACCACAAGAACAUAAAAU